GGGCCAGUAGCUCAGGUGGCAGAGCAUCUGCCUUUUAAGCAGAGGGUCGAUGGUUCGAGUCCAUCCUGGCUCA
rnacentral:tRNA from 1 species